rnacentral:lncRNA from 1 species
AAUAAGUAGAAACCAACAUGGCCGCGACUAGCGUGGUGCGAACUGUGAAGUGUUGUCGCAUUUCUUAAGAUUUGUCGUUGUAUCGUUCUUUUAACUAUCUGUGACUUAUUUUCAUUGCACUGAAUAACUCCCAAGAUGUAAUUUCAUCCAGUCUUUCAGUAACUUUAAGCUUAGAAAAUUGCCAGUGGAACAUGUGAUUAGGAGCAAGAGUUGGAAUGAAGAAUAGUUCAACAGGCCUACAAGUGUCCAUGGAUACCUUUUAUAUUUCAGAUGGACAACUCUGACAACAAGGAUUUUUUGGGAGUUGCUGUUGAUUUCUAUCUCCGACACAAUUUCUCAGAAAUUAAUUACUUGAUACACCAGUCUUCAAUGAUUAGUAGAUUUGAUAAAUAACAACGGCAAUACCGAUAAACCCUUGGCAUUCAUUUGUUCCCGAUGAACGGCACUAUCUAUUACCCAUUAAAAAUGUAGGUGAAUAAAAACAAUAAGAUGAGGAAUGCGGAUCAAAAACAGUGUUGGAGUAAAAUGUUGGAUUUGUCAUUGAAGUUGGAUAGAAAGGAGAAGAGUAAUCCCAGUUGUUCCAGUAGUAGGAGGAAUAGUCUUGCUGCUGUGGUUGCUGCUCCGUUCGGAAUCCAUUCGAGUUAUUGAAGUUGGACUGGGGACUUACGACGUGUUGUGGACAGCUGGUAGCAAGCCAUUCGGAUUGAAGUGGAGACGACGAUGAUGAUCCGGACGUGGAGUAGUUGAUUGGUUCCACGGGUGGAACUGACGGAGGAUCCGAAUAAAAUCCAGGAGUUGGAAGGACUUGAGUUGAAACGGACGUACCAUGUUGACGUUGGCGAGAGACGUAAGGUGAUGAUCGACGAUGUUGGCGAUUUGUUUCGCAAGUUGAAGUUGCCGUUCUUGAAGAUCCAAGUUGGCGGACACGCCGACGGCGAUUCUGAAACCACCACUGAUGCAAUCAAGAGGAAAAAUUAAUUUCAGAAACUCCAAUCAGCUGGGCGAUGCGUCGACGACUUUCUCGAUUGGGAAACGGAUCUCUGUUGAAUUCUGCGUCGAGUACCUCCAGCUGGACCUCGUCGUAAAAGUGGCGCUGACGACCUGAUGCUGAAGCAGACUUCGUAGUGAAACCAACUGGAUAAUAAUCUGAAAAUUAUCCAGGCGGAAGUACUCAAUGGUCAUUGCUGUCCAGGAUCAACAGCUUAUUGGAAGAUUUUUUUAGGUAUUAACCUUGCGGUGUUUCUUCUCGUCUUUGCCAGCAUCAGAUAAUCCAAAAUAUCCAGCCAGCUCAGCGUUUGACUUCUCAAAGGCUUCGUUUUCACCUUCCUCCCGCGGCAAAACCAUUCGGUGCCGUAAGUUAGGACUACAGUGACCCAACGACACCAGCCCCUUGAAGGUGGUAGAACGAGCUUAUCGCCGCUAAAGUGCAGCUAUAGAAAAUUUCAUGGCCAAGACGAACCUGCCGCCACACCGGCACUUCCUCGAUGGUAUAAGAAGCCAGUUAUUGCAGAACGAAGUAGUUUAUAAGCUUUCCGGAUCCAGGUGCCAGGGGUGUCUGUACUGACGUAGUGACGUCACAUAGACUUGCUGAAGGUCUCCGUUUAUUUCUCUGACCAAGUUUAUCGUUUAUGUUUCCGUAGUUGCUGUCCGAUGUGGGACGUUGUUGCAGCCAAUACUGGUGAAAGAUCUUUUUGCAUCAUAUUAAACUGGCUGUUCCUUGGUGCUGGUGUCGUGUUACCGAAGUUGCAUCAUUAUUUUGUUUAAUUGUUAUUGGGUCUGCAGUUUAUCGUUUACAUGUUAAGAGGGAACAAACACAGAAAUAUGAGUAAUUCAUGUCAAACAAAUAAUAAACAUGCUUUGGGGAUUGGGAAAGGAAUGUAGAGGAUGUUGGGAAUUU